UCGAUGUACGUGUGUGUGUAGACAUACCAUAGGCCACAUUUGAGGUGAGGUAGCGGCGGAUGGACUUGAGGUUUUCCACUUCUUCCUGUUCUUCCUCUGCAGUGAUGUCGACUGGCUCAAAGUACACGAGCUUCACCAGGGUGCCACCGAUGUCCAUCCCAAACCAGGGGAAGGCUGCGGAGGAGGACAGACAAGAAGGAGAGCAGAAGAGAAGAGAAUCUGAGGCUUCAGUUUGGUAGAACAUGGAGUUCGUCUUCCAGCAGGUUGAGAGAAAAAGAAAACCUCCACGGCUCAAAAGCAGAGCCACAGUUUCCAAGCCGAAAUCUGUCCGCGUCACUCUGAAAUAAAAGCCAAGGCCUCGUCACAACACCGAGAAAUCUUCGGCCUGUGGAGAUUCCAGGUAUCGUCGUGAUGACUUCCCUGAGCCAAGCUCCCACUGAUCGUUCUCCCCAACUCUCUACGGACGGACCACACCCAUCAUAUCACUGAAAGUGGAUUUAAACAGAAUGUGCCGAAACCCAUUUUUAGGAAAACUUACAUGGGCAACACACAAAUAAUUAAAAAUAAAGUGCGCUUAAGCAACAAAUGCGUUGCUUUAGGUGCCAUUUUGGAAAAUUUUUAAUUAGUGGUAUGCUUCCACAUUGCCUGUCACCAUUCUUCUUAUUUUCAUAGCUUUUUCUUUGUGUU